AUGACCUCCGGGAGCGUCUCCAGCUCGCCCUCGGCGUCUGAGAGCUGCCGCGGCGUCCCGCCAGAUAGUGAGGAGAAAUCAAAGAGCAGAGAGUCCGACCUCGACCCGGACCGGAAAUCCACCGUCAGCAUCAAUGUUAUCCCAGCAUCGCACAGCCCCGACGAGAGGACGAGUCAGGACGAAGACGAGCUGAGUCUGGACCCCAGUGAGGGGCGGAGCAACUCUGCAGCAGCACAGGAGGAAGAGGAGGAAGAGGAGGGUGAAGAUCCUGCAAGUUCUGACAAGGACACUGCAGAUGAAGAUGAAGACACUCUUCAACCAGAAGAGGCAGAAGAAGAGGAGGAGGAAGAUGAGAGCGGGGCUGAGGAAGAGGAGGAGAGAACGAGCGGGGCGACCGAGACCGAACCAGAGAGCGAGGAAAGAGGGAGCACGAGCAGAGAGGAAGAAGACGAGGAAGAGCGGGGUUCCAGUCAGGAGACGGAGAGCGGAGGGGCGGGGACCGAAGCUGAAGAAGAGGGAGAGGAGGGGGAUGAAGGUUCAGAGAAGGAGGAAGACGAAGAGGAUGAAGGUUCAGAGAAGGAGGAAGAUGAGGACGAAGGGGAUGAAGAUUCAGAGGAGGAGGAGGAAGAAGAGGAUGAACGUGAGACGCUGAAAUCCUCAGAGAAGAAGGACGAGAGUGACGAAGAGGAGGAAGAAGAUGACACUGAGGCAGAGAGUGAAGAGGAGGAGGAGAAGGAAGAAAGCAAAGAGGAGGAAGAAGACGAGAAGGAAGACAGUGAGGAAGAGGAAGAAAGUGGGGAGGAGAACGAAGAAGAGGAAGAAAAUGAAGAGGAAGAAAAGGAGGACAGUGAAAGUGGAGAAGAACAUACAACAAGUAGCAAUGAAGAGGAGGAAGAAGAAGAAGCUGAAGAGGAGGAUGCUCCCGAUACUGAGGAAGAGGAGGAGGAAGAAGAGGUUAGGAAGAAGAAAAAGUCUGCAGGAGCAAAAAGACAGAAUGUUCCAUCUGCAGGGAAGAGCAGAGGAAGAUCUGGAGGAUACAGUAGAGACACCCAGCAAGGAUGA
rnacentral:lncRNA from 1 species